CCGGAAGAAUAAGCACCGGCUAACUACGUGCCAGCAGCCGCGGUAAUACGUAGGGUGCAAGCGUUAAUCGGAAUUACUGGGCGUAAAGCGUGCGCAGGCGGUCCGCUAAGACAGAUGUGAAAUCCCCGGGCUUAACCUGGGAACUGCAUUUGUGACUGGCGGGCUAGAGUAUGGCAGAGGGGGGUAGAAUUCCACGUGUAGCAGUGAAAUGCGUAGAGAUGUGGAGGAAUACCGAUGGCGAAGGCAGCCCCCUGGGCCAAUACUGACGCUCAUGCACGAAAGCGUGGGGAGCAAACAGGAUUAGAUACCCUGGUAGUCCACGCCCUAAACGAUGUCAACUAGUUGUUGGGGAUUCAUUUCCUUAGUAACGUAGCUAACGCGUGAAGUUGACCGCCUGGGGAGUACGGUCGCAAGAUUAAAACUCAAAGGAAUUGACGGGGACCCGCACAAGCGGUGGAUGAUGUGGAUUAAUUCGAUGCAACGCGAAAAACCUUACCUACCCUUGACAUGUAUG
rnacentral:rRNA from 1 species